GUGACAUUAUCUUGGUUGGUGAGAGCAUGGUGCUGAUAACACCAAGGUUGUGGGUUCAAUCCCUGUAUGGGUCU
rnacentral:tRNA from 1 species